CUGUCGGUUAUGGGCUUUCAACUCAGGCCCAGGAGUCACCAGUACUCUACAAGAUGGUCCUAUUUCCCUGGAAGAAUCCUCUGAUAAGUUUCGCUACGAGGACCUUACUGUACCCUGUAGUGGUUACAACAUCUAUUAAAAAGCUUUUAGUCUGCUUGGCUGAACUCUGUACCUCUGGCUGCACUAACCCACCAUCCUCAUUCAAUGUGGUAGUCGGCUAACUUUACCAGUAGGUCACUGGGAAUGAAUCCAUGGCAGAGGAGACUGAAGAGCAGAUUCUUCAAGACAGUAACAUAAUUUGAACAUUUAUCCUCCCUGAAUGUGUUUCAGCCCCCCUCUUCCCCAAGGAUGAGGAGAACCCCUUAGUAUGGAUCUCACGACUUGUAAGUCAAACCCCUGUACAGGUUAACACCGAUGAAGGCAUCGAUGCAUCCCUUUGCAAUACAACCAUACAAGAUGGAAAGACUGUUCUGCUAGUAAGCUGAUAACAAGGGAAUUAAUGUGCAGGCCUGAGCCAUAUUUACUCCAACCAUCAUCUCCCACCAUCAUAUCACAAACUCGGCCCGACAUCUAUACCAAACUAUCAGCCCCGAUAACACCAAUGACCAGAAGACGGACCAGAUCUGCACCAUCUCCUCCACCUCCGACACUCAAACACAGACCGCAAAUUUACUCUCCCCAAGAAAACACUACAGAAGACAACUCCUCACAGACAAAUGAACAACCAACGAUUCCCCCCCCCCCCCCCCCUCCCUCCCC